rnacentral:lncRNA from 1 species
CCUCCCUUCUUCCCUUCCUCCCUCCCUCCCUUCCUCCCUUCCUCUCUUCCUCUCUCCCUCCCUACCCCCACCACGUGCACAGAAGAAAGACCAUGUUGAAGACACAGCUGGAAGGUGCCGUCUGCAAAUUAAGGACAGAGCCCUCACCAGAAGCCAAACCAGUCGGCAGCUUGUUCUUGGACCUCCAGCCUCCAGAACUAUGAGAAGACUGGAGCUCAGAGACGCUCAGAGAGUCGCCAGAGGUCACACAGUAAGAAGAGAACACCAAGUCAAUCCCAGAUUUUGAGAGCACUCUUUCCAGGACAACCCAGCAGCUCACACCUUAAACCAGCUCUGUCCUGGACAGUAUUGGUGCUCCACUCAGAUACACUCAGAUCCCUUUAUGCCAGGUCUGAGUGUCCCACCAUCUACCCCAGCCUCCCUGUCCAUCCACCACCACCUGACGGUCUCUGUGACUCUUCUUUGGAGCACCGCCCUUUUUUGGGGGGUUUUGCUUUUUCUUUUUUGCUGCUGCAGGCUCUCUGCUGGCCCUUCUGGAGGACCAGGAGCACCUGAGCAUUUCUCCCAGGCAGCCCUUCACUGGUGACUGUCGGGAGGGCAUGUAGGAAAGCCCAGCCCCUUUCCUAGGCGGGGACAACUUGGGGAUGUGACUUACACUCCAGGGCUCCCGGAGGGAUCGGGCUGAGGCCACCUUCCAUGGGAGUUUGCUGAAAUUGUGCCUCGUUUGGCUUCCUCCCCUUCCAUGUCCUGCCUCCCUCACCCACUUCCUCAUCCCCCCUGGGACACACAAGUCCUGUCUCAGGGUCUUCAUCUGGGAAACCCAACCCAAGACCGAGUCCCCCUGAAGAUGCGUGCCCUGCCACAAGGCUGGUCUUCUGCCCCGGGUCCUGGCACGGCGGGAGCCAGGCAGCACCCAGAGCGUGAAUGGAGAAUCACGCCUGGGGGACAUCCCAAAGGCAGCAGCUGCGUGGCUUUGGGGACAGCUGGGAGUGGGAGCAGGGAUGGACACUCCACAGCAACAGGGAUGAGGAGAAGAGAAUGAGGCUCUUUGGCCUUCUGUGACCUUCAUUAUUUUAUUGUUACACCGUUUAUAUAUGUUCAAAGUGCUACAAAAAUGCACCAAAAUGGCUCAAUGCAGAUUUUUUUAAAAAAAGAUCACCCACAGAUAAAAUUUUCACUGAGCAAGGUCUGACUGCCCAAUGCACAGAGAAGCUAAUACUACGGCACCAGCUUUUGAGAAAAGAAAUAAGCUUUAUUACAGGGUUGACCAGCAAGGACACAGGAAGAGGGGCUCUCAAAUUCUAUCUUCCCGAUCCAAGGUUUGGGGCAAAGUUUAAGGAGUUAGGGGUCACUGAGCCACAGCUGGGCCCACAUAAGCUGAUUGGCUGGUCUCGAAUCUGUCCGUAGAUGGCAAUCAAGCUGCUUGAGGUGCUGGAAGCCGGAUUUUCCUUACGGAAGGACUUCUAGCUUCUUCAAGGGCUCCAGUGGCAACAUUUCUGAAGAUUCUUGGUUCUGGGGUCACCCUGGGGCUACGGGAUCCCGCCUGGCACAUGCGCAGUGCCGUCUCUGUGAUCAAGCAAGGUUUGAUUCAUCAACGACCUGUUUUAAGGAAGCAAAACUAGUUUAAGCUGGUCAAGGUUUUAUGCGUUGUUUCAACAGCAGUCAACCCAUUGCCAGCCAGAUGAUGCGCACGUGUUGAAACAAAAACAGGCCCAUCCCGUACAGAGAGUAAGUGGUGUGUGGAAGAGGCAUUGGGAAUGUGGGCUCUAGAGCCAGGCUGCCAGGAUGUGGAUCUUGACUCCACACUUACUAGCUGUGUGACCUGGGGCAGAUAACUUCAUCCCUCUGUGCCUCGGUUUCCUCAUCUGCAAAGUGGAGAUGUUAAUAAUGUCUCCCUUGGAGGGUGGUCUCGACGGUUAAAUGAGUUCCUGCCUACAAAGCACUUAGAGCAGACCCUGGCAUAUACAAAGUUUGGUGAUAAUGUUUGCUGUCAUCAUCAUCAGAGCUGUUGUAACCAGAGGUCUUAACCCGGCAGCUUCUGGCAUGAUCCAGCCUGCAGAUGUGUUUUGUUUAGUUCAAAUAACAUUUUCCAAAUCUAUUCUGUUGCCAAAAUUUCAGAUUCGGGAGACUUGCCCUUAAAAGGCAGAUUUCUGGCUACUUGAAAAGCAGGACGAUUGGGCAACACUUGGCUCACAUAGUCAUGGAGUAAAAUCAGCCAGAGGUGGGUUGUGGCUGCACCCCAGCAGGGAGGCAGGGGCGCCCCACUGGCCGCUGCCCCGACAUGCCCCUGAGCUACAUGCUGAGUCCCACGGGCACUCAUGGCUGUGAGCUCUGUGCUUCUCAACACACAGUGAACGCGUCCUGGGAGCAACAUUGAUGCAGAUUUGAUGAGUCCUUGAUGCUCUGGCUCGUGGCUCCACCAUCACUUAUUUCACAGAAUUCUCAGCAUUGAACACAGGGGCCAUUUCAAGGUUCUCAUGUUGAUAAACAAGACUGUGAUAAACAUGCUGGGACCUACAGCUUUGGGCACUAGAAGAAGGUAGUUGGGAGGGCAAGAGCUGCAACAUGACAGACACCCACAGGUAGAAAGAUUUAAGAUGAGAAUAGAUCAAGAAAGAGAUCAAGUGGGGCUGGCCCGGUGGCACAGCGGUUAAGUGCGCACGUUCCGCUUCGGCAGCCCAGGGUUCGCCAGUUCAGAUCCUGUGUGCAGACAUGGCACCGCUUGUCAAGCCAUGCUGUGGUAGGCGUCCCAUGUAUAAAGUAGAGGAAGAUGGGCAUGGAUGUUAGCUCAGGGCCAGUCUUCCUCAGCAAAAACAGGAGGAUUGGCAGCAGAUGUUAUCUCAGGGCUAAUCUUCCUCAAAAAAAAAGAAAAGAAAACAAAGAGAUCAUGGAAUGAACUGUGAUGAGAAGCGGGCCUUCUCUUUCUGCAAUAGCAGUUUGGUUAUCUGCUUUAAAGAAUCAAAAUGCAUUGCACGGGACUGGCCCUGUGGCCGAGUGGUUAAGUUCGUGCGCUCCGCGGCAGACAGCCCAGUGUUUCGUUGGUUCGAAUCCUGGGCGCGGACAUGGCACUGCUCAUCAAACCACGCUGAGGCAGCGUCCCACAUGCCACAACUAGAAGGACCCACAGCGAAGAAUAUACA